rnacentral:rRNA from 1 species
UGCAGUCGGGCGGUAACAGGGGAAGCUUGCUUCCCGCUGACGAGCGGCGGACGGGUGAGUAACGCAUAGGAAUCUGCCUGGUAGUGGGGGAUAGCCCAGAGAAAUUUGGAUUAAUACCGCAUACGCCCUACGGGGGAAAGCAGGGGACUCUUCGGGGCCUUGCGCUAUCAGAUGAGCCUAUGUCGGAUUAGCUUGUUGGUGAGGUAACGGCUCACCAAGGCGACGAUCCGUAGCUGGUCUGAGAGGAUGAUCAGCCACACUGGGACUGAGACACGGCCCAGACUCCUACGGGAGGCAGCAGUGGGGAAUAUUGGACAAUGGGCGAAAGCCUGAUCCAGCCAUGCCGCGUGUGUGAAGAAGGUCUUCGGAUUGUAAAGCACUUUAAGUUGGGAGGAAGGGCAGUAAGCGAAUACCUUGCUGUUUUGACGUUACCGACAGAAUAAGCACCGGCUAACUCUGUGCCAGCAGCCGCGGUAAUACAGAGGGUGCAAGCGUUAAUCGGAAUUACUGGGCGUAAAGCGCGCGUAGGUGGUUCGUUAAGUUGGAUGUGAAAUCCCCGGGCUCAACCUGGGAACUGCAUCCAAAACUGGCGAGCUAGAGUAGGGCAGAGGGUGGUGGAAUUUCCUGUGUAGCGGUGAAAUGCGUAGAUAUAGGAAGGAACACCAGUGGCGAANGCGACCACCUGGGCUCAUACUGACACUGAGGUGCGAAAGCGUGGGGAGCAAACAGNAUUAGAUACCCUGGUAGUCCACGCCGUAAACGAUGUCAACUAGNCGUUGGAAUCCUUGANAUUUUAGUGGNNCAGCUNACGCAUUNAGUUGACCGCCUGGGGNAGUA